UAGCUAGUUGGUGAGGUAAAGGCUUACCAAGGCGACGAUCUGUAGCGGGUCUGAGAGGAUGAUCCGCCACACUGGAACUGAGACACGGUCCAGACUCCUACGGGAGGCAGCAGUGGGGAAUUUUGGACAAUGGGGGCAACCCUGAUCCAGCCAUGCCGCGUGAGUGAAGAAGGCCUUCGGGUUGUAAAGCUCUUUCGGCCGGGAAGAAAUCGCAUGGGCCAAUACCCUGUGUGGAUGACGGUACCGGAAUAAGAAGCACCGGCUAACUACGUGCCAGCAGCCGCGGUAAUACGUAGGGUGCGAGCGUUAAUCGGAAUUACUGGGCGUAAAGCGUGCGCAGGCGGUUUUGUAAGACAGGCGUGAAAUCCCCGGGCUUAACCUGGGAACUGCGUUUGUGACUGCAAGGCUAGAGUACGGCAGAGGGGGGUGGAAUUCCACGUCUAGCAGUGAAAUGCGUAGAGAUGUGGAGGAACACCAAUGGCGAAGGCAGCCCCCUGGGUCGAUACUGACGCUCAUGCACGAAAGCGUGGGUAGCAAACAGGAUUAGAUACCCUGGUAGUCCACGCCCUAAACUAUGUCAACUAGGUGUUGGGUGGGUAAAACCAUUUAGUACCGUAGCUAACGCGUGAAGUUGACCGCCUGGGGAGUACGGCCGCAAGGUUAAAACUCAAAGGAAUUGACGGGGACCCGCACAAGCGGUGGAUGAUGUGGAUUAAUUCGAUGCAACGCGAAAAACCUUACCUACCCUUGACAUGCCAGGAACUUGCCAGAGAUGGCUUGGUGCCCGAAAGGGAGCCUGGACACAGGUGCUGCAUGGCUGUCGUCAGCUCGUGUCGUGAGAUGUUGGGUUGAGUCCCGCAACGAGCGCAACCCUUGUCGUUAAUUGCCAUCAUUUAGUUGGGCACUUUAACGAGACUGCCGGUGACAAACCGGAGGAAGGUGGGGAUGACGUCAAGUCCUCAUGGCCCUUAUGGGUAGGGCUUCACACGCCAUACAAUGGUCGGUACAAAGGGCUGCCAAGCCGCGAGGCGGAGCCAAUCCCAGAAAGCCGAUCGUAGUCCGGAUUGCAGGCUGCAACUCGCCUGCAUGAAGUCGGAAUCGCUAGUAAUCGUGGAUCAGCAUGUCACGGUGAAUACGUUCCCGGGUCUUGUACACACCGCCCGUCACACCAUGGGAGCGGGUUCCGCCAGAAGUAGGUAGCCUAACCGCAAGGGGGGCGCUUACCACGGCGGGGUUCGUGACUGGCGUGAAGUCGAAACAAGGUAGCCGUAGGGGAACCUGCGGCUG
rnacentral:rRNA from 1 species